GUGCUCAUUUUGGCAGUACAUGUACUAAAAUUGGAGCAGUACAAAGAAGACUAGCAUGACUCCUGUGCAAGGACAACAUGCACAUUCAUGAAGUGUUCCACAUUUUU
ensembl:snRNA U6 U6 spliceosomal RNA